rnacentral:ncRNA from 1 species
AACCUUUGCUUUGCCAUUCUCUGUUUAUCAGCAGGCAUAACUGGCUUGUGGCAACCAGGCGUUCAUAGCGACGUUGCUUUUUGAUCCUUCGAUGUCGGCUCUACCUAUUAUAUUGAAGAUGAAUUCAGUAAGCGUUGGAUUACUCACCCACUAAUAUGAACAAGACCUGGGGUUUAGGCCGUCGUGAGACAGGUUAGCAUUAUUCUACUGAUGAAAUGUUGUUGCAAUAGUAAUUAUACUUGGUACGAGACGAACCGUUCAUUCAGAUACUUGGUAUUUGGGCUUGCCUGAGCAGGAAAUGGCCCGAAGCUAUCAUCCAUUGGGUUAUGACUGAACGCCUUAGAGUUAGAACCCGUGCUGGAAAGCGACGAAUACCGCCUUUUCCGAACUUUAGUUGAAUACGAAUAGCCUUUUGGAUCCUGAGUCAUAAUACAACGGGUCGAUCUUGCAGAGCAGAAAAGCUUCGUGAGGUUCUUGCUAAUGUUAAUUUCAAAUAGUAGAAGAGAUAAAUUCAUUGCAGACGAAUUUAAUUGAACGGGUAUUGUGACCAGUAGAGCAGCCUUGUUGCUACGAUCUGCUGAGAUUAAGCCCAUUGUUCCAUAGAUUU